rnacentral:misc_RNA from 1 species
CGCACAUUGCGCCCCUUGGUAUUCCGGGGGGCAUGCCUGUUCGAGCGUCAUUUCAACCCUCAAGCCCCCGGGCUUGGUGUUGGGGAUCGGCGAGUCCUAGGACCAGCCGGCCCCUAAAUCUAGUGGCGGUCUCGCUGCAGCCUCCAUUGCGUAGUAAUAAACCCUCGCUACUGAGACCUGCUGUGUGCUCGCCAGCAACCCCUUAUUUAUCAUGGUUGACCUCGGAUCAGGUAGGGAUACCCGCUGAACUUAA